rnacentral:tRNA from 1 species
GCCACCAUAGCUCAGUGGGAGAGCGCUGGUCUCGUAAACCAGCGGUCGUGAGUUCGAUCCUCACUGGCAGCA